UACAGAGGGUGCGAGCGUUAAUCGGAAUUACUGGGCGUAAAGCGCACGUAGAUGGCUUUGUAAGUCAGAUGUGAAAUCCCCGGGCUCAACCUGGGAAUGGCGAUGGAGACUGCAAGGCUAGAGUUUGGCAGAGGGGGGUAGAAUUCCACGUGUAGCAGUGAAAUGCGUAGAUAUGUGGAGGAACACCGAUGGCGAAGGCAGCCCCCUGGGUCAAGACUGACGCCCAUGCACGAAAGCGUGGGGAGCAAACAGG
rnacentral:rRNA from 1 species